UACGUAGGGGGCUAGCGUUGUCCGGAAUCAUUGGGCGUAAAGCGCGUGUAGGCGGUCCGGUAAGUCCGCUGUGAAAGUCGAGGGCUCAACCCUCGAAUGCCGGUGGAUACUGUCGGGCUUGAGUACAGGAGAGGCGAGUGGAAUUCCUGGUGUAGCGGUGAAAUGCGCAGAUAUCAGGAGGAACACCGAUUGCGAAGGCAGCUCGCUGGAACGUUACUGACGCUGAGACGCGAAAGCGUGGGGAGCAAACAGG
rnacentral:rRNA from 1 species